AGUCGAACGGAGCUUAGAGAGCUUGCUUUUUAAGCUUAGUGGCGAACGGGUGAGUAACGCGUGAGUAACCUGCCCUAGAGUGGGGACAACAGUUGGAAACGACUGCUAAUACCGCAUAAGCCCACGGUGCCGCAUGACACUGAGGGAAAAGGAUUUAUUCGCUUUAGGAUGGACUCGCGUCCAAUUAGCUAGUUGGUGAGGUAACGGCCCACCAAGGCGACGAUUGGUAGCCGGACUGAGAGGUUGAACGGCCACAUUGGGACUGAGACACGGCCCAGACUCCUACGGGAGGCAGCAGUGGGGGAUAUUGCACAAUGGGGGAAACCCUGAUGCAGCGACGCCGCGUGGAGGAAGAAGGUUUUCGGAUUGUAAACUCCUGUCGUUAGGGACGAUAAUGACGGUACCUAACAAGAAAGCACCGGCUAACUACGUGCCAGCAGCCGCGGUAAAACGUAGGGUGCAAGCGUUGUCCGGAAUUACUGGGUGUAAAGGGAGCGCAGGCGGGAAGACAAGUUGGAAGUGAAAACCAUGGGCUCAACCCAUGAAUUGCUUUCAAACUGUUUUUCUUGAGUAGUGCAGAGUAGAUGGAAUUCCCGGUGUAGCGGGGAAUGCGUAGAUAUCGGGAGGAACACCAGUGGCGAA
rnacentral:rRNA from 1 species